GCAUGGCUCAGUGGGAGAGCAUUUGCUUUGUGUGCAGAAGGCCCCACGUUUCAAGCCCUAGCAGCUCCA